rnacentral:rRNA from 1 species
GAUGGACGCUGGCGGCGUGCUUAACACAUGCAAGUCGAACGGUGAAGGCGGAGCUUGCUCUGCUGGAUCAGUGGCGAACGGGUGAGUAACACGUGAGCAAUCUGCCCCUGACUCUGGGAUAAGCGCUGGAAACGGCGUCUAAUACUGGAUACGAGCUGCGAAGGCAUCUUCAGCAGCUGGAAAGAACUUCGGUCAGGGAUGAGCUCGCGGCCUAUCAGCUUGUUGGUGAGGUAACGGCUCACCAAGGCGUCGACGGGUAGCCGGUCUGAGAGGGUGACCGGCCAAAGGGGGACUGAGAACGGGCCAGGACUCCCAGGGGAGGAAGGGGGGGGGAAUUUUGCACAAGGGGCGAAAGCCGGAUGCAGCAACGCCGGGUGGGGGACGACGGCCUUGGGGUUGUAAACCUUUUUUAGGAGGGAAGAAGGAAAAGUGACGGUACCUGCAAAAAAAGCGCCGGCUAACUAGGG